CAAAUAUAUAAACGGUAAUAUUUGGACUCGCGAUUCGGUUCGGGAUCGUUGGGCUAUAGCUUCUGAGCCCCCACCGUCAAAGAACUGUACCGUACCGGUCGUCGCGUCGCUUCUUUGGAGGUGUUUCGAAAAAGUACCACCACGAAAAUGCAUAAAUUUCGAAUACAGUCCAAAACGGGUGCACAAUAAGCCGACAAAAACAGGAUCCUUCAGCGGCUAAGGAACACCUCAUCAAUGGUCUCUCAACGCAAUUGUGCAAAUCCUUCAUAAAAAAAAGGGUAUCUAAUAUCGAGAAAAAUCGAAACAAAUCGAAAAAUCAAAGAUAACGCAGAUAUAGAUAAAGAUCUUUUAAAUACCGAUUGAAAUGUGUAUAAUGUUGAAUGCAACAAAGUGGAGUGCGCACUCCAUUUGAAAUAGAUAAAGAUGCGCAACCGCUGCCGUGGCCUCCAUUUGUGGCAUACGACGCGAUGCAACGCCUAAAUAUCCGUGGAAGAAGCAACUGCUGUGAGUGUUCGAAUGUUGUCGAAACAUGGUACGCGACAGUAGCCGUAACAUUUGUUUUGGAAAAUUAGCCGAAACUACGACAACCACAACGCCACAACAGCAACAGAUCCUGCAACAUCCUGUGCAGCAGCCACAUC